CCAUGGCCCCAUCAGAAAAAAAAAUACUCAAAGGUGGGGGCUGCUGACCCUGUAUGACGGACACCCUUUCUCUCUCAUCAAGAGGACAUUGCGUGGGGCAGGCCUGGUGGUGUGCACUCUCAGUCCCAUCAUCCUGGGCAGUGAGUUUGAGGUCAGCCUGGUCUAUAAAGUGUUGCAGGCUAGUAGGGCUAGAUGGUGAGGUCUUGCCUCAUAGGUCAGAGCAGAAUCGUAACAGUCUUUCUUCCUUGCAGCUGCCAGCCCUGCUCCGUCCUCCUGAGCCCCGGCCCCUGCCCCAUGUGCUUCUGCAGGGGCUGGGGCUGCUGCUGGGGGGCAGCCUCAUGUUUACUAUAGCCCUGUUGGAGGAACAGCUACUGCCCGUGGUUCCUGAUGGCUGAUGUGGGCCAGUGGCAAAGGAUGCAGGCUGCCCUUCCUUCCCCCCACCACAGGAACGGAGGCGGGACACAGGGCCAGUAGGAGCAAUAGGAUUUUAAUAAACAGAACCCAUCCCAAA
rnacentral:lncRNA from 1 species